CAUGUGUUGUUUUAAUAAUUAACUUUUCGGAGAAAAUGGUGCAUGUGAUGAUCGAAAUGGUCACUUGACUAUAGCAAAAUUAUCAAUUUGGUCACGAGUUAACGGAUGUUUAACGGCAAAAUAAACGGAUGAUCAAAUUGGUUAAGCUAUUUAAAGUUGAGGAAAUUAAUUGGUUAAAAAUAAUAGUCAAGGAUCAAAUCAGUAAUUUCGCUAUAGACGAAGGACCAUUUUAGUAAUUUACUCU